rnacentral:rRNA from 1 species
UACGUAGGGUCCAAGCGUUAUCCGGAAUCACUGGGCGUAAAGCGUGCGUAGGCGGAUGUUUAAGUGCAAUGCGAAAUCCUGUGGCUCAACCAUAUGGACUGUAUUGCAUACUGGAUAUCUGGAGGAAUGCAGAGGCAAGUGGAAUUACCGGUGUAGCAGUGAAAUGCGUAGAGAUCGGUAGGAACACCAAUGGGCGAAGGCAGCUUGCUGGGCAUUUUCUGACGCUAAGGCACGAAAGCGUGGGGAGCGAAACAGG